rnacentral:rRNA from 1 species
CCUACGGGAGGCAGCAGUGGGGAAUAUUGCACAAUGGGCGGAAGCCUGAUGCAGCGACGCCGCGUGAGGGAUGACGGCCUUCGGGUUGUAAACCUCUUUCAGCAGGGACGAAGCGAAAGUGACGGUACCUGCAGAAGAAGCGCCGGCCAACUACGUGCCAGCAGCCGCGGUAAGACGUAGGGCGCGAGCGUUGUCCGGAUUUAUUGGGCGUAAAGAGCUCGUAGGCGGCUUGUCGCGUCGACUGUGAAAACCCGCGGCUCAACCGCGGGCCUGCAUUCGAUACGGGCAGGCUAGAGUUCGGUAGGGGAGACUGGAAUUCCUGGUGUAGCGGUGAAAUGCGCAGAUAUCAGGAGGAACACCGAUGGCGAAGGCAGGUCUCUGGGCCGAUACUGACGCUGAGGAGCGAAAGCGUGGGGAGCGAACAGGAUUAGAUACCCUGGUAGUCCACGCUGUAAACGUUGGGCGCUAGGUGUGGGGAACCUCUCCGGUUCUCUGUGCCGCAGCUACGCAUAGCGCCCGCCGUCGGGAGGUACGGCCGGCGACGGACGUAAACCGUACGAAGAGAGUUAGACGGCGUGAGACGUGCCGACGGACGACGACGAGGGAGGAGG